rnacentral:rRNA from 1 species
GACGUAGGGCGCGAGCGUUGUCCGGAAUUACUGGGCGUAAAGCGCACGUAGGCGGCUUUGUAAGUUAGAGGUGAAAGCCCGGGGCUCAACCCCGGAAUUGCCUUUAAGACUGCAUCGCUUGAAUCCGGGAGAGGUGAGUGGAAUUCCGAGUGUAGAGGUGAAAUUCGUAGAUAUUCGGAAGAACACCAGUGGCGAAGGCGGCUCACUGGACAUGUAUUGACGCUGAGGUGCGAAAGCGUGGGGAGCAAACAGG